rnacentral:misc_RNA from 1 species
GAUGAAGAACGUAGCGAAAUGCGAUACGUAGUGUGAAUUGCAGAAUUCCGUGAACCAUCGAAUCUUUGAACGCAAAUUGCGCUCGAGGCCUCGGCUAAGAGCAUGUCUGGCUCAGCGUCGGCUUACUACCCUCAAUCAAUUACCUUGUGAUGAUUGGUUGGAGCUGGCUUUCCGGUGUUCCAAUCAGGUUGCCGGUCAGCUGAAAAACAUUCACGCUGUGGAAGUCGCUUUCCCUUCAAAAAGGAAAGCCGAGUUCCGAUUUGGUAGGUGACCUUUGCCGGUUGCAUGCCUUCGUUGCUCGUUUUGGCUUUCAUGAUAGCGUGUGCAGGACGCCAUUUUGGCUUUCGACCUGAGCUCAGGCAAGAACACCCGCUGAACUUAAGCAUAUCAAUAAGCGGAGGA